CCAUAAUGACAUUGUUAGAAGACAUGGCAGUGUUGCACAAAACAUAUGAUACUAGCAACCCUAUUUCCUAAAUUCCCAUUGCAAAUCCAUCACUCUACUGUAUGUAGCUAUCAAGUAUCAACAGGCUGUAAAGAAAAUUUUUUAACUUCUCUGCUUGCCAACAAUAAGAAAAAGGAUUAAUUACUAUCAAGUCCCUGAGUUUUUAUGAAAUUAACUACUUUGUCCCCAUUUUAAAAUCACUCGAUUAAAAUGUCCCUAUAUUUUAUAAAAUUCAACUCUUUAGUUAUUCUGUUAAAAAAAUGUUAGUUAUUCUGAAUUAUUUAUAUUGAUUAGUCCCUAUAAUUUUAAAUCUUCAUACUAUUUAGUCCCUCUGAUCAAGCCUAAAAUAAGUUGGCUAACGACUUCUUUGACAAAAGGCUAAAGAGUUUGAUUUUACAAAACACAUGGACGUUUUAAUUGAGUAAUUUUAAAAUAGGGAUGAAGUACUGUAUUUUUUAAAGAUUCAGAGACCUAAUAGUAAUUCUCCCUAAGAAAAAAAAUACACACACAAGUUCCAAAACAAGAUUAUACGUCACAGGUUGCAAGCAUGGAGAAUCUACACAGGAAACUUAUAUCUAGAAAACAGGUAGGAUAUGGAUUGAAUUGAAAGAAGGAAAACAAGGUUGUAUUGAACCUGUUCAAUACGGAGGAAAUGAAUUCAAAGUUAGCAGCAGUCCCUGGGGAUGUAUGUACAUUUGGGGGUGCACCCCAUUGGCUACAUGCCAAAGGGAAAUUUUAAAAAGUGAAGGGAAGAAGUCAAUUUGAAUGAAUGGAACUGAUUCUUUAAUGUUCUGAAAACAAUUAAAAAAUUGUGAGGCCAUCUCUCAAAGUUCACUAGUUGUGUUUACUAAACAAGCAAUUCAGCAUCUCAGAAGAUUAAUCAAUUUUGUGCUUGGCAACAAAAGCAAUAAGAAUUAAAUAAAUCCAACUAUAAUGCAGGAAAAGUACCCUGACUGUUAAUUCAUUAACCAGUGAGCAAAGAUGAGAAAAAUUACAUAUACUUCAACAGUUAAAAAAUUGCAAAAUACAUACAACAUAGAUGCCAUGCUAAAAGUUU
rnacentral:lncRNA from 1 species